UUACACGGGGAACCAUCUUUCCACAAUUGCUCAGUUUGGCCGAGUGGCCAGCUCUAGGAAGAGUCAUGGUGGUUACAAACUUCUUCCAUUUAAGAAUGAUGGAGGUCACAGUGUUCUUGUGGACCUUCAAUGCUGCAGAAAUGUUUCGGUACCCUUCCCCAGAUCUGUGCCUCAACACAAUCCUGUCUCGGAGGUCUACGAACAAUUCCUUCAACCUCAUAGCUUGGUUUUUGCUCUGCCACGCACUGUCAACCGUAGGACCUUAUAUAGACAGGUGUGUGCCCUGUGUGCCCUUUCAAAUCAAUCAGGUGAAUUUACCACCGGUGGACUCCAAUCAAGUUGUAGAAACAUCUCAAGGAUGAUCAAUGGAAACAGGAUGCACCUGAGCUCAAUUUCGAGUCUCAUAGCAAAGGGUCUGAAUACUUGAAUACUGUAAAUAAGGUAUUUAUUUAAUACAUUUGCAAAAAAUUCUAAAAACCUCGCUUUGUCAUUAUGGGGUAUUGUGUGUAGGUUGCUGGGGAUUUAACAUUUUUUUAAUCCAUUUUAGUAUAAGGCUGUAACGUAACAAUGUGGAAAAGGUCAAGGGGUCUGAAUACUUUCUGAAGGCACUCUAUAUAUCGGAAAGCCACCAAGAGACAACAAAAAUACUAUUAACACACUAUUCAAAUAUACAUAUUCUUAUAUACAGUACAGUUAAAUUGGAUUUUUAGAAAGAGGAGAAGCUCUGUGAUACAAGAUGUCUUUUAAUCUGUUUUUUAAAGCAUUCCACGAUGACAUGGCUCUACACAUAACUGAGCAACGCAUGAAAUCUGUUUUUGGUUUAGGUACCGUGAAGAAACCCAUAGUGAUAUGUCUGGUGGGAUAUGGAUGUCUAGAAGAGAAGUAGUCAAUUUCCUCUCAACCCUCAACCAUGAAAGACUCAUGUAUGUUGUUGAUGUUAGUUCUGUGUGCGCAGUUAAGGGCAAGGCGUCGUGCUUUGUUUUGAGCCAGCUGCAGUUUUGAAGGUCAUUCUUUACUGCACCUGACCAUAUUACCCGACAGUGUCACAUCUGCUCCUGCAACGCCUUCUACUGCUCAUCAUGUGGUGCCUUGACCUACCGCCUCCCCAAGUGCUCUUUCCCUCUCUCUCUCUGUGUAUGCGUGUGUGUGUGUGUGUAUGUGUGUGUGUGUGUGUGAUUGUGUGGGUGGAGACAAGUGUGCUGGAGUCAGAGCAGAUCCCCACCAGCUGCAACCUGUUCCAUAACCAAGACCUCUACUAAUACUCAGCUCUGCCACUUCCACGCUGCCAGAUCAUAAUCUCUGCUCAUUCUGCCCGCUCUGACUCUGGUCCCAGUCUCCAGUCCCACGUCGAGUCAUCCUGCUACUCUGUCCUGGAUUCCCCACUCUACUACUUCCUUGGAUUUCCCUCCGGACCUGCUUACCCUUUCCCAACCCCACUCGCUCCAGCCUCAGCCUCCGCACCUGGUUUCCAGCAACACGCCCGAGCUUCCCCUGACCUGCACUCAAUCUCUCCCUUGUUUCAAUAAAUACCUUGG
ensembl:lncRNA